CAGUCGCCGCGGUAAUACGAGGGGGGCAAGCGUUGUUCGGAAUUAUUGGGCGUAAAGGGUGCGUAGGCGGUUUGACAAGUCUUAUGUGAAAUCUCUGGGCUCAACCCAGAGUCUGCAUGGGAAACUGUCGAGCUUGAGUAUGGGAGAGGUGAGUGGAAUUUCCGGUGUAGCGGUGAAAUGCGUAGAUAUCGGAAGGAACACCUGUGGCGAAAGCGGCUCACUGGACCAUUACUGACGCUGAUGCACGAAAGCUAGGGAAGCAAACAGGAUUAGAUACCCGCGUAGUCCCUGUCUCUUAUAC
rnacentral:rRNA from 1 species